rnacentral:rRNA from 1 species
AGAGUGAACGCUGGCGGCAGGCCUAACACAUGCAAGUCGAGCGGCAGCGGGUCCUUCGGGAUGCCGGCGAGCGGCGGACGGGUGAGUAAGGCAUCGGAAUCUGCCCUGUUGUGGGGGAUAACGUAGGGAAACUUACGUUAAUACUGCAUACGACCUACGGGUGAAAGCGGGGGACCUUCGGGCCUCGCGCAGCAGGAUGAGCCGAUGUCCGAUUAGCUAGUUGGUGGGUAAAGCCCACAAGGCGACGAUCGGUAGCCGGUCUGAGAGGAUGAUCGGCCACACUGGGACUGAGACACGGCCCAGACUCCUACGGGAGCAGCAGUGGGGAAUAUUGGACAA